rnacentral:lncRNA from 1 species
CCUGGUACUUGGAAUCAAAUCAAAACCAAACUCAAUCUUCUUAUCUGGUGGUAACCCUGGAAGUUCUUUUGGAAAAACAUCUGAAAACUUACAAACCACUAGGAUGUCUGCUAAAUUUGGCUUGCUUACUUUUGUAUUAACCACACAUGCUAGAUAGGCUUCACAUCCUUUUCUGAGUAGCUUACUAGCUAUUAAAGCUGAAAUCACAUGAGGGAAGUACACGAUGUUCACCCAAGAAACAUAUUUCUGCCAUCUGGGGUCUGAAAAAUCACUUCCUUUCUAAAACAAUCUAUUUUUGUUCG